ACCGUCCUUGUCACGGGUAGUAACUGUCCAAUGAACGUCAAGUGAGGGCAGCGUGCUGACAACCAUGUGACACAAUUUACCGCAUCGCUUGACUAAUACUGUUAGGUUUGGAUGCAAUUUUUGGAACC